UACGUAGGGUGCAAGCGUUGUCCGGAUUUAUUGGGUUUAAAGGGUGCGUAGGUGGCUUUUUAAGUCAUGGGUGAAAUCCCACAGCUCAACUGUGGAACUGCCUGUGAUACUGACUAGCUUGAGUGCGGUUGAGGCAGCUGGAAUUGGUGGUGUAGCGGUGAAAUGCAUAGAUACCACCAGGAACACCGAUUGCGAAGGCAGGUUGCUAAGCCGUAACUGACACUGAGGCACGAAAGCGUGGGGAUUCCGAACAAC
rnacentral:rRNA from 1 species